rnacentral:lncRNA from 1 species
CGCCCCUCCCUUGGGGCGCACUCCGUAUAGCGUCUCUGAGUUGGACUGGACCCAUGGCUCAUCCCGUUUCGGUGCGGAUCCAGCGCAGCGCCCGCGCCCGGCGUGCCUAAAGAGCUGUCAUGCUGAGACUUUCUCCAGGAGCUGGGGCAGAGUGCUGAUAUUUUUAUAGCAGCAGAGUGUGCCAGAGGCCAGCAGCUGCUCAGGACAAGCCCUCUCUUUCCGCUGCCCUGGACACUGCUAAAAUGAAUAGUGCAGAAAAUCACUCCUGAGAUCUGGAAACUCAUCUUUUUCCAUGGUAAUUUGUCUUCUCAAACCUCAGUUUUCUCCAUCACAGAGGCAGAUUUAGAGCAUUUUCCAGUAGCACAGGGCAGAAUUCCAUUCAGGGAAGAACAAAGCCCACCCUAAGGUCGAGGCUUCUGAGGGAAGCCCAAGGUCCCUC